UACUGUUUAGGGACCACGAGGACCCAAGGGUUCUUCAGGAAACAGUGGACUUGAUGGCGCCAAGGGUGAGCCUGGAGAAAAGGGCCCUGCUGGAGAAGAUGGACCUCCCGGAAUAAAUGGAAAGAAUGGUGUGCCUGG